UACGUAGGUGGCGAGCGUUGUCCGGAAUUACUGGGUGUAAAGGGCGUGUAGGCGGGGAUAUAAGUCAGAUGUGAAAUUCCUAGGCUUAACUUAGGGACUGCAUCUGAAACUAUAUUUCUUGAGUGCUGGAGAGGAAAGCGGAAUUCCUAGUGUAGCGGUGAAAUGCGUAGAUAUUAGGAGGAACACCGGUGGUGUAGACGGCUUUCUGGACCGUAACUGACGCUGAGACACGAAAGCGUGGGUAGCAAACAGG
rnacentral:rRNA from 1 species